rnacentral:rRNA from 1 species
GAUGAACGCUGGCGGCGUGCCUAAUACAUGCAAGUCGAGCGGACGGACGAGAAGCUUGCUUCUCUGAUGUUAGCGGCGGACGGGUGAGUAACACGUGGAUAACCUACCUAUAAGACUGGGAUAACUUCGGGAAACCGUAGCUAAUACCGGAUAAUAUUUUGAACCGCAUGGUUCAAAAGUGAAAGACGGUCUUGCUGUCACUUAUAGAUGGAUCCGCGCUGCAUUAGCUAGUUGGUAAGGUAACGGCUUACCAAGGCAACGAUGCAUAGCCGACCUGAGAGGGUGAUCGGCCACACUGGAACUGAGACACGGUCCAGACUCCUACGGGAGGCAGCAGUAGGGAAUAUUCCACAAUGGGCGAAAGCCUGACGGAGCAACGCCGCGUGAGUGAUGAAGGUCUUCGGAUCGUAAAACUCUGUUAGUAGGGAAGAAGAUAAGUGUAAGUAAAUGUGCAUAUCUUGACGGUACCUAAUCAGAAAGCCCCGGCUAACUACGUG